UACAGAGGGUGCUAACGUUGUUCGGAAUCACUGGGCAUAAAGCGCACGUAGGCGGCUUGGUAAGUGCGGUGUGAAAGCCCCCGGCCUAACCGGGGAACUGCAUCGCAGACUGCCAGGCUCGAGAGCGGGAGGGGAGACUGGAACUCCUGGUGGAGCGGUGAAAUGCGCAGAUAUUAGGAAGAACACCGGUGGCGAAGGCGGCUCUCUGGAACGGUACUGACGCUGAGACGCGAAAGCGUGGGGAGCGAACAGG
rnacentral:rRNA from 1 species